rnacentral:lncRNA from 1 species
GUUGUUGUUGCGAUGUUUCACUGUCCAGCCGCACGGUUCCUAUUGUGGCUGGGCAUCCUCGUUAUCCUGAAUAAACGUGCCCGUAGUCUUGAUAAUACGUCGAUUUUGCUUCUUGGGGCAAUUUCCAACUUUGUGGCCUUCUUCACCGCAAUACAAGCAUAGACCUUCUUCCAUACGCCGUUUUUUUUCUUCUAGAGUAAGGGAUUUGACACGUACCGCAUUAAUUUGCAUGUCUUCUACCUCUGAAUGUAAAUUCACGCUACUUAUCGACAUAGUUGGG